UGAUGGACCUUAGGCAUCACUGAAGGGCAGGAGGCCCUCCUUAUGUGCUUUUAUCACUUGGUGAUCUCAGGAGAGACUGGCCAGCAUGAAUGGCCGUGAUGAGCAGCACACCCUGCUGCCUGUCACAGUCACAGGUUAAUCAGGGUAUGGGAAUUUGUGAGAACAUUAAUAAAUACAGAUCACUCUCUAGAGGGCUGCAAUACAUUAUUUUAGCUCUCAACAAUAACAGACCUUAUUAUCUUUCAGGGAGAAGCUCCUGUCAGGGCAAUCAAGGAUGGACACUUUUAAUGAAGACAAAUGAUCUCCUUCAAAGGAGCGGUGAGCCUUGAUUUGGCUUAAUGGCUCACUAGUACGAAGCAUGGAUUUAAUCAGCGCUCCAGCUUCUGUCACGCAUGGGCCUUGAAGUCAGGAUUUCGAAUGGGAAAGAAUGAAUUUAGGAGCAAAUCAGUAAAAUGAUGGUCAAACUUUUCAGGAGCAAUUAAUAAAGCUACACCAUAGAUCUGGCUACAACUGAGAGUCCAGAAUGUGGAUACAUAUUGAAGGAUGCUGAAAAGGGACCUUUCAGACUUUGCAGCCACUGGCCAUUGUCAGCACCCAUCGUGCUAGGACUCUGCAAGCCCUUGCCUCAUGUUCAUGCAAGCACAGAACUACGCACAGAAGGGCCCUUGCUGAGAGCUGGUCUGGUGAGUGGGUGUUUGC